GACGAACGCUGGCGGCGUGCUUAACACAUGCAAGUCGAACGAUGAAGCCCAGCUUGCUGGGUGGAUUAGUGGCGAACGGGUGAGUAACACGUGAGUAACCUGCCCUGGACUCUGGAUAACCCCGAGAAAUCGGAGCUAAUACCGGAUAGGACCUGGAACCGCAUGGUUUUGGGUGGAAAGUUUUUUCGGUCUGGGAUGGA
rnacentral:rRNA from 1 species